AUUUUAUUGUUUGAGAUGUCCAAUAUUAUGAUACAUAUCUUGGAAGUAGUUUGUAGCACUUACAAUUUCUAACAACUAACUGCACCCCUUUGUGCUUUUGCAUAGUCUCCUUGGCAAGACUAAUUUUGGAUUCUUGAGUUUUCGAUCUCUUUUUAAAUUCCUGAGUACAUGUUAAGUGUCUGCACUUAUGAGUCUUGGCUAAUUUACAGUUUUAAACAAACAGAAAGUCAAUGAUGCCAAGGUUCAGGUAGUGUUGACUUCUUCGAAUUGGUAAGUGUUAUAUAUGAAGAAAUUAUAAAUUCUCUCUCUCAGUUUAUUGAGUGUUUAUUCAUUUUAGCUACUUGAGUGUCUUUCUGUUACCAAACAAUUUAAGAAAUAGCUCGUUCGCUGAAAUAAGUUCCUCAUUAUGCUGCAUUGUUCUAAAUUUGUUGGUUCCAUAUUAAUUGUAACAUAGAAGGAAAUGGUGGAGGGAGGAUAAAGAUGGUUCGUCACCCUAAACUGCACAGUGCACUCCAGCAGCCUUGCUGGGGUUGAUAUCAGUUACUGAAUCUCAUUCCAUGCUUCUUUGUCAGUGCAUGUAAAUGCUUCAAGCAAGACAAUGCCGUCCAAUAUGGGAAUAAAAGGCUCAUCUUCGAGAAAUGUCACGUUAUUCAUCGACACGGUGAUCGUAAGCUGCAGUUGAAGUCCUGCAUUUCCUCUAUCCAUGAAUCAAAAGCUGUUUUGGUGGCCACUUCUUGGUUGCUUACUACCUCAGCGGAGUACUCUUAUCAUUUUGCAUUUGCCUCCUUGGACUCUACAUGUUUUUUUUUUUUUAUUCUACAAGAUCUCUUAUUGUUCAAAUGUGUGUUCCAGAAGUUCUUAACUUCAUUGUAUGUCCUUCCAGGUAGCCUACCAGCAAUUAGUGACCAUCUGCACCAAAAAAGAUGUGACAUAAGUAUAGCAAAAUAGCAGGAAAGCAGCAGGUGCAGCGGGGAAAAGUAGUGUCUGUACCCUUGGACAUGUCCAAAUGGUUUUAUAGUUUAGAUAUUACACAUUUAUUCUAUAAGAAACUGCACAAAAUAUAUUACAUGAGAAUUUUACAAUAAUUUAAUGGUUAAAUUGUAUUUUUCAUUUAAAUGAUUAUUCUGAAUUCUGGUUAUGGC
rnacentral:lncRNA from 1 species